ACUGACAGAAGAACUCACAUAUUGUUGGAAAUAUAUCAUGAUAAAACUGUUGUUGUGUAACAAACUUAAUUAUGUUGUGAGUUUAGCGAGUUUGGUGUUAAAUACUAGGCUUAGACUGUCUACAGAUAAUUGACUGAUGUAAGACGGGGCAAGAAUGAUCACAUGGAUUAUCUCGUGAUGGAAUGUUGAGUGGGCCUGUAAAAGGAAUAGCUACAAGGACGAAAGGGCCUUGGGGGUAAAAGCGGAUGGGGGAAGGGACAGGAUGACCAUGCAAAUAAUGUUGUGUAUUGGGUCUGCAGAAAGCCUGACCCCUUCCCCAGGGUUCGCCUGCUAAUGUGUAUAAAGGUAAACGUAUAGCAGAGCUCGGGGUUCAUUCUCUGCGAACUGACAACCGUGUUGCAUGGUAUCAGGGACACAUUGAUGAAUCCAGAACUUCUGUAAUAACUC